rnacentral:rRNA from 1 species
UGGCAUUUCUAGAGUAAUACAUGCCCAAGAUUUUGGCCGGGGUGGGGGUCGGAGCGCUUUUAUUAGAAUCAGAAAACCGAUGACCUCCGGAUUACAUUGCCGAGCACACUACCAUGGGCGUGGCCUUUUGUUGGCCGCCGGGGUGCCCAUCUUCGGAGUGUCUGCCUUAUCAGCUGUCGAAGGCUGGUCAAGUGCCAGCGAUGGCGAUAACGGGUGACGGGGAAUCUGGGUUCGAUUCCGGAGAGGGAGCCUGAGAAACGGCUACCACAUCUAAGGAAGGCAGCAGGCGCGCAAAUUACCCACUCCCGGCACGGGGAGGUAGUGACGAGAAAUAACAAUGUGAGACUCAUCCGAGCUCUUGCAAUUGGAAUGAGUUCACUUUAAAUCCUGUGCAAGGAUCUAUUGGAGGGCAAGUCUGGUGCCAGCAGCCGCGGUAAUUCCAGCUCCAAUAGCAUAUGCUAAUAUUGUUCGGAAAAAGCUCAUAGUUGGAUCUAUAUACAGGACGGCGGUGGUUAGCUGCCCCGUUCGUGCCCCGUUACGAGGGCGCGGUCUGGUGGCGCUGUAGUGCGCCUCCCGCAGAACGUGGAGGGACCUGCCGACACCUUCGUGCCCUUCAUCGGGUGUGCCGAGGGCUGUCGCGCUCGUUUACUCUGAAUAAAUUAGAGUGCUCAGAGCAGGCCAAUAACAGGCCUGUAUGGGAGUGCAUGGAAUAAUGGAAUAGGACCUUGGUUCUAUUUCGUUGGUCUUUAAUGAACCCAAGGUAAUGACUAAUGGGAACAAUCGGGGGCAUUUGUAUUGAGGCGCGAGAGGUGAAAUUCUGUGACCGUCUCAAGACAAACAAGAGCGAAAGCAUUUGCCAAGGAUGUUUUCAUUAAUCAAGAGCGAAAGUUAGAGGUUCGAAGGCGAUCAGAUACCGCCCUAGUUCUAACCAUAAACGAUGCCAACCAGCAAUCCGUCGGGCUAAUACCAUGGCCCGGCGGGCAGCUUCCGGGAAACCAAAGUCUUUGGGUUCCGGGGGAAGUAUGGUUGCAAAACUGAAACUUAAAGGAAUUGACGGAAGGGCACCACCAGGAGUGGAGCCUGCGGCUUAAUUUGACUCAACACGGGGAACCUCACCAGGCCCAGACACUAUUGGGAUUGACAGAAAGAUAGCUCUUUCUCGAUUUAGUGGGUGGUGGUGCAUGGCCGUUCU